GCGGGCUGGCGCAGCCUGAUCAGCAUGCCGCGUGCAGGAAGAAGGCCUUCGGGUUGUAAACUGCUUUUGUACGGAACGAAACGGUCUGGGUUAAUACCCUGGGCUAAUGACGGUACCGUAAGAAUAAGCACCGGCUAACUACGUGCCAGCAGCCGCGGUAAUAAU
rnacentral:rRNA from 1 species